rnacentral:rRNA from 1 species
CACGUAGGGCGCAAGCGUUGUCCGGAAUUAUUGGGCGUAAAGAGCUCGUAGGCGGUCUGUUGCGUCAGGAGUGAAAACUCGGGGCUUAACCCCGAGCCUGCUUCUGAUACGGGCAGACUAGAGGUAUGCAGGGGGAGAACGGAAUUCCUGGUGUAGCGGUGAAAUGCGCAGAUAUCAGGAGGAACACCGGUGGCGAAGGCGGUUCUCUGGGCAGUAACUGACGCUGAGGAGCGAAAGCGUGGGGAGCGAACAGG